rnacentral:rRNA from 1 species
UACGUAGGCAGCAAGCGUUGUUCGGAGUUACUGGGCGUAAAGGGUGUGUAGGCGGUUGCUUAAGUUUGGUGUGAAAUCUCCCGGCUCAACUGGGAGGGUGCGCCGAAUACUGAGUGACUAGAGUGCGGGAGAGGAAAGUGGAAUUCCUGGUGUAGCAGUGAAAUGCGUAGAUAUCAAGAGGAACACCAGUGGCGAAGGCGAGUCCCUGGACGAUACCUGACACUGAGGCACGAAAGCCAAGGGAGCAAACAGG